GAUGAACGCUAGCUACAGGCUUAACACAUGCAAGUCGAGGGGUAGCACGGAGGAAGCUUGCCUCCUUGGGUGACGACCGGCGCACGGGUGAGUAACGCGUAUCCGACCUACCCAUAACUCGGGCACAGCCGCUCGAAAGAGUGAUUGAUUCCCGAUAUGUCCUUGGAGUAGAUUCAAUGAUGAAAGAUUUUUCGGUUAUGGAUGGGGAUGCGUAAGAUUAGGUAGCAGGCGGGGUAACGGCCCACCUAGACGACGAUCUUUAGGGGUUCUGAGAGGAAGGUCCCCCACACUGGUACUGAGACACGGACCAGACUCCUACGGGAGGCAGCAGUGAGGAAUAUUGGUCAAUGGGCGGAAGCCUGAACCAGCCAAGUAGCGUGAAGGAUUACAGCCCUACGGGUUUUAAACUUCUUUUAUAUAAGAGUAAUGUGCACUACGUGUAGUGUAUUGCAAGUAUUAUAUGAAUAAGCAUCGGCUAACUCCGUGCCAGCAGCCGCGGUAACAC
rnacentral:rRNA from 1 species